rnacentral:siRNA from 1 species
UGAAUUUGUAAGAUCAUUCCU